rnacentral:rRNA from 1 species
UGUAUCCUACGGGGCGCAGCAGUGAGGAAUAUUGGUCAAUGGCCGGGAGGCUGAACCAGCCAAGUCGCGUGAGGGAAGACGGCCCUACGGGUUGUAAACCUCUUUUGUCAGGGAGCAAGGUGCAGGUCGGGACCUGCUGUGAGAGUACCUGAAGAAAAAGCAUCGGCUAACUCCGUGCCAGCAGCCGCGGUAAUACGGAGGAUGCGAGCGUUAUCCGGAUUUAUUGGGUUUAAAGGGUGCGUAGGCGGAAUGCCAAGUCAGCGGUAAAAUCGCGGGGCUCAACCUCGCUCCGCCGUUGAAACUGG